UACGGAGGGAGCUAGCGUUGUUCGGAAUUACUGGGCGUAAAGCGCGCGUAGGCGGCUUUGUAAGUCAGAGGUGAAAUCCCGGAGCUCAACUCCGGAACUGCCUUUGAGACUGCAUCGCUUGAAUCCGGGAGAGGUGAGUGGAAUUCCGAGUGUAGAGGUGAAAUUCGUAGAUAUUCGGAAGAACACCAGUGGCGAAGGCGGCUCACUGGACCGGUAUUGACGCUGAUGUGCGAAAGCUAGGGGAGCGAACGGG
rnacentral:rRNA from 1 species